GACGUAGGGCGCGAGCGUUGUCCGGAUUGAUUGGGCGUAAAGAGUUCGUAGGCGGCUUGUCGCGUCGUCCGUGAAAACUUGGGGCUCAACCCCAAGCUUGCGGUCGAUACGGGCAGGCUCGAGUUCGGUAGGGGAGGCUGGAAUUCCUGGUGUAGCGGUGAAAUGCGUAGAUAUCUGGAGGAAUACCGGUGGCGAAGGCGCCAUCCUGGACCGACAUUGACGCUGAAUACCGCAAGCUAGGGGAGCAAACGGG
rnacentral:rRNA from 1 species